AGGCAACCUUCUUGUGAUAGCAAUAAUGGUGUUAACAUGCUCAUAAAUUAAUGUAUCUUUUGCUCUUCAGAUUUGCUGAGAUGGUCUUUUAUUUAUUUCCAUUAUAGAAACUAGUCCAGUAUGCUGAAGAACAUU